ACGAGCCACAUGCAGGGAAACUUGCACAUGUGGUUCUGGCCAGGCUUUCCUGAGGUAUCUAAUAACCUUGCUUUUGCUCUCAAAGCCAAAAGGAAAUCUUAGAUCUCUUCCUCUAUUAUAUAGUAGAAAGACUCCCCCUCAGUAACCUCAU
rnacentral:ncRNA from 1 species